rnacentral:rRNA from 1 species
GACGAACGCUGGCGGCGUGCUUAACACAUGCAAGUCGAACGGAAAGGCCCUGCUUUUGUGGGGUGCUCGAGUGGCGAACGGGUGAGUAACACGUGAGUAACCUGCCCUUGACUUUGGGAUAACUUCAGGAAACUGGGGCUAAUACCGGAUAGGAACUCCUGCUGCAUGGUGGGGGUUGGAAAGUUUCGGCGGUUGGGGAUGGACUCGCGGCUUAUCAGCUUGUUGGUGGGGUAGUGGCUUACCAAGGCUUUGACGGGUAGCCGGCCUGAGAGGGUGACCGGCCACAUUGGGACUGAGAUACGGCGCAGAAGCCUACGGGAGGCAGCAGUGGGGAAUAUUGCACAAUGGGCGGAAGCCUGAUGCAGCAACGCCGGGUGCGGGAUGACGGCCUUCGGGUUGUAAACCGCUUUCGCCUGUGGCGAAGCGUGAGUGACGGUAAUGGGUAAAGAAGCACCGGCUAACUACGUG